GUGCUCACUUGGGCAGCACAUACACUUAAAAUUGGAAGGAUACAGAGAAGGUUCAUGUGACCUCUGUGUGAGUAUGACACAAAUUCAUGGAGCUUUCCAUAUUUAG
rnacentral:snRNA from 1 species